rnacentral:lncRNA from 1 species
AACUUGGCCCUGGUGUCUUGGAACAGCCCACAGUGGUGGUGGGCAAGGGCAGACUUGGGCCAGCAGGUUCAGUUUAGCCUGUGGGUGCUGCGGUAUGUGGUCUCUGGAGGGCUGUUUGUCCUGGGUCUCUGGGCCCCUGGACUUCGUCCCCAGUCCUAUACAUUGCAGGUUCAUGAAGAGGACCAAGAUGUGGAAAGGAGCCAGUGAACUUGCUGACUGAGAAGGCACCUUGGAACUCUCUGGCCUGGACUGUUACCAGUUACGUCUUCCUCAAGUUCCUCCAGGGGGGUGGCACUGGCAGUACAGGCUUCGUGAGCAACCUGCGCACCUUCCUGUGGAUCCGGGUGCAGCAGUUCACGUCUCGGCGGGUGGAGCUGCUCAUCUUCUCCCACCUGCACGAGCUCUCACUGCGCUGGCACCUGGGGCGCCGCACAGGGGAGGUGCUGCGGAUCGCGGAUCGGGGCACAUCCAGUGUCACAGGGCUGCUCAGCUACCUGGUGUUCAAUGUCAUCCCCACGCUGGCCGACAUCAUCAUUGGCAUCAU